rnacentral:rRNA from 1 species
AUUGAACGCUGGCGGCAGGCCUAACACAUGCAAGUCGAACGAGUGGCGGACGGGUGAGUAAUGUCUGGGAAUCUGCCUGAUGGAGGGGGAUAACUACUGGAAACGGUAGCUAAUACCGCAUACCAUCAGAUGGACCCAUAUGGGAUUAGCUUGUAGGUGGGGUAACGGCUCACCUAGGCGACGAUCCCUAGCUGGUCUGAGAGGAUGAUCAGCCACACUGGAACUGAGACACGGCCCAGACUCCUACGGGAGGCAGCAGUGGGGAAUAUUGCACAAUGGGCGCAAGCCUGAUGCAGCCAUGCCGCGUGUAUGAAGAAGGCCUGCGGUUUGUAAAGUACUUUCAGCGGGGAGGCGUUACCCACAGAAGAAGCACCGGCUAACUCCGUGCCAGCAGCCGCGGUAAUUC